rnacentral:rRNA from 1 species
GUUUGACCUCAAAUCAGCAAGACUACCCGCUGAACUUAAGCAUAUCAAUAAGCGGAGAAAAAGAAACCAACCGGGGAUUGCCCUAUUACGGCGAGCGAAGCGGCAAAAGUCCAAAUUUUGAAAUCUGGCGUCCUACGGGCGUCCGAUUUGUAAUUUGAAAUGGUAACUUUGGGUUUGGCUCUUGCAUAAGUUCCUU